rnacentral:tRNA from 1 species
AGCGGGGUGGAGCAGUGGUAGCUCGUCGGGCUCAUAACCCGGAGGUCGUCGGUUCGAAUCCGACCCCCGCAACCA